GCCUCGGCCUCCCAAAAUGCUGGGAUUACAGGCGUAAGCCAACGCGCUCUGUCAGAAGCAUGUUUUUAAUCUCCAGAUUCUGUAAAACUCUGCCACAAUGUGGAACGUUAAAGGAAAAUAAGACGUUGUCUCAGCACCAGGAUUCUUGUUCCUGAAGCUCUCAGCUUUUCUUAGCCAAGCAGCUUCUCAAUUCUGAGGGCACACUAAGCAGUGAGGACAUAGUUGUACAUUACCCUCCCCUGGCCUGUGAUGUAGACUCUAUUGCUGAGUCUAAGAAAAAAGAAGGUAUCUCCAAAAAUGUACCAAUACUUUACAGGUUGAGAAUGAGUCUGAUUUAUUUUACUUUUUUAUUUUAUUUUAUUUUAUUGAGAUGGAGUCUCGCUCUGUCACCCAUGCUGGAGUGCAGUGGUGCGAUCUCGGUUCACUGCAACCUCCACCUCCCAGGUUCAUGUGAUUCUCCUCCCUCAGCCUCCUGAGUACCUGGGAUUACAGGUGCCUGCCACCACGCCCAGCUAAUUUUUGUAUUUUUGGUAGAGACGGGGUUUCACCAUGUUGGUCAGGCUGGUCUCGAACUCCUGACUUCGUGAUCUGUCCGCCUUGCCUCCAAAAGUGCUGUGAUUACAGGCAUCAGCCACUGCGCCUGGCCAUAAGUCUGAUCUUUUUACAACACCCUGCAGUUCUUCACUUCUUUGACUGCUGCCCCAAUCUCAGCAUCAUGUGGAAAUAUGUAUACUGGACCGAAUGGAACAAGGGCUAUCCUUAUGGAGUGGACAGAAUGGGCUGGCGUCACCCUGCUUCAGGUGUCGUGUUCACAUCCUCUUCAUGUUUAUAGUCUUCAGCUUCACUUGCCUUCUUAGAGGCGAUGUUUUGAAGAACACUAACUUAGGUCUUGUGCCCCUAACUAUAAAAGUAAGCGACUUCGUAAUACUUGCAGUCAGGUAAUUGAUUCCAAGAGGAAUGCAGGGGUUAGAAUUGCAAUUUCCUGCAAAGGAAACACCCAUGUUUGGUAGUUUUCUUAGUUGUCUCUCAGUUAUUAACAGCCCUACUUAUAUUUGACAGACAAGUAAUAAUGUGGCCAUCUAUCUCUAAGACAGCAGAGCUGAAUAUAGUUCCAACUUUAUAAAUGAAUUUUAAAAGCCCUACAGACAAAUUUCAUUAAAGUAAAGAAUAAAAAUUUGGUAAAUGGAGUCUUUGGAUUUUACUAACGAAUAAAUCUUUACUUUUCUACAACUGCUAAUAAGGAACUCGAAGGUUGAAUAAAUAAAAUGAACAUUUCCUGUGUACUAAUGCAGGCCUCUUUUAGCAAGGGUGUGUAGAAUGCUUUUAAGAUGACUGCAUUUAUACACCCUUACAAUUAGACAAAAGCACGUCCCAGUAUUCUGUUUAAUAGUGGGUCAGCCAUGGAAGAGCUCAGACAUGUCACAAACAAAACCCAAAGAAGAGCCUCUAUGUUCUAUGUAGGCCCUUCUUACUACAUAGAGAUGUCCAAGUUCAGCAUGAUAAUAUAUUUCACAACCAUCGUGAAAAAAUCAAGUUAAAUAUUGUACAUAUGGUCUUUU
rnacentral:lncRNA from 1 species